CUACGGGGGGCUGCAGUCGGGAAUAUUGCGCAAUGGAGGAAACUCUGACGCAGUGACACCGCGUAUAGGAAGAAGGUUUUCGGAUUGUAAACUAUUGUCGUUAGGGAAGAUAAAAGACAGUACCUAAGGAGGAAGCUCCGGCUAACUACGUGCCAGCAGCCGCGGUAAUACGUAGGGAGCAAGCGUUAUCCGGGUUUAUUGGGUGUAAAGGGUGCGUAGACGGGAAGACAAGUUAGUUGUGAAAUCCCUCGGCUUAACUGAGGAACUGCAACUAAAACUAUUUUUCUUGAGUGUUGGAGAGGAAAGUGGAAUUCCUAGUGUAGCGGUGAAAUGCGUAGAUAUUAGGAGGAACACCGGUGGCGAAGGCGACUUUCUGGACAAUAACUGACGUUGAGGCACGAAAGUGUGGGGAGCAAACAGGAUUAGAUACCCCCGUAGUC
rnacentral:rRNA from 1 species